GCAUCAGUUAUUAAUUGAAGCUACAGUGGGUCAAACAAAGGUUGAAUACCUUGGACAUGUGCUAACAAAGGGGACUGUAUGCAUGUCUGAAGAUUGAAUCAAGACAAUUCAACACUGAACAAUGAAGAUGCAAUCCAAUGGACUACGGAAAUGGACCCAGCGCUGGGUCUUCCAGUCCAUCUGUACGUGCACGAGGCUGGGGGGACUGCUGCUGCAAUCCAGGAACAUGGGGGCUCUUACCGCCCGGUGGCGUAUUUAUCUAAAACACUAGAUUAGGUUGCAAAGGGCAUCCUGGUUGUCUGUGAGCAGUGGCUGCAACAGCGAUGAUGGUACAGGAUGCAGAAUGAGUUGUGCUUUCACAUCCUCUGACUGUGCACACAACUCAUCAGAGUGACUUCGAGGAAGACAGAAUAAAGCAUCUGAAUCAUAUUUUACUAACAAGUAUUAACAUAAUUGUAUCAUUAGAAAGCUGAAACCUUGCUUUUUACAUUUGUGAAUAAAACUCAAAAUGUGAUUCUGGGUCAAAGUGACUCAAAAUUAUCGAGCAAGUCACAAAUAACAUGGAUAUCUCAUACAAAAAGUGCAAUUAAGUAAUUUUGUUAAUUAAAGAGAUUAUGCAAUCAACCAACUUCAUGUGUGUAGAUUACAGUAUAGUACUACUACUGAAGAUAAUUUUUGCACUAUAAAUUUUGCUGGGUUAUUUUUUAACCCAGAAUGAUGGGUUGAGUCUGCUGGGUCAUUUUGUUGGGUUAUUUUCACAUUGUUAGUAGUUUUUAAUCCAACUUUGCGAUGUUAAUGGCUGGGUCAUUGUCACUUACAGUAGAAUUCACCACAGCCAACCCAAGCUGCUGGGUCAAAAUAACCCACUGCAGGUUUAUCUGUGCCAAACUGGAUAAAACCAGUUUUUCAAUUGUCAUUUUUGCCUCCUGUCCUGAGGGGAAUCUUCCUCAAUAAAAUUAAGGUUUGUAUUCACUUGUAUUCCUAUCAGUCAUUACUGUAUAGACAGGAACAACUUUUAUUGUCUCACAUGAUCAUUUUUUUUUUUUUUUAAUGUACUUAUUUCUAUUAUAACAUCAACGUAAUACCAAGCUAGUUUAGCAGCUAAUUUAGUUCAUAUCUGCAAAGGUCGCUGGGUUUGCACAAAUGCUGAUGGAAACAAUGUCUACACCCAGAGAGAGCGACGCGACCAUGUCAAGCGAGUGCAGCUACAGCAGCCGUGACGCGACGUGAUGCAGCUCACAGAAGUCACACGCUUGCUGUUAACGGCUUCAGUGAUGAUGGAAGCGAUCGAGUUUGCUGCGCGUCACAGCUGUAGUCGCGUCAUCCAUUUGACAGGACGUGAAACUUCAAUGUCCAACAGAGACAUUAGGUACCAGUGCACUGAGGUUGCUCCUUUUGCUUUUCCACCUCCAAAAACGUAAUAUAACUGUUUUUCCUUAAAGGAAUAGUUCAUCUAAAAAUGUUAAUUCUCUCAUCAUUUACUCACCCUCAUGUCAACCCAGAUGUGUAUUACUUUCUUUCUUCUG